rnacentral:lncRNA from 13 species
AUGGGAAAUCUCUAUGAGGCUCAAAGAAUGGAUGGGAAGGGUAAAGACCCAGUCUAUUUUAGACUGCAACCAAGGUGUAGCUGGGGUCCAGGCAAACUCAACCAUGUGCACUGUCAGGGGAGCAUAAGCUCCAACCACUUUCUGACCUCAUGUUGCUGUAUUCCAGAUUCUAACUCCUGGAGGAGAAGGGAGGCUGAUUGCAGAAGUCCCAUUCUUGACAUCCUGGCUUGCAGUCUUACAAGACUCACAACAGAGGAUGAGCCACUGUAAGAUGAGAGAAGGCGGUGCUGUUAUGCUUGAUUCUUCAAUAACUGGUAAGUGAAUCUAAAUCUCUGCUACCCAAAUGAGUUAAAAAUCUAGGCGUCAAACUGGAGAGCCACCUGCCCUGCCAUCAUGUCAGCUCUCCCCCUAAUGAGCUCUGGGAAUGAACAACCUGAGAUUCAACUUAGUCCUCUACCAAGCGGGUUGUUACAGGCAUUCUGCAUACAGUGAAACUAGCAGGUGAGUUGACAAGAAGGUGACAUCGCUCAUCUUAUUUUUUCAAGCUACUUACCUUCUUCAGUGUAUUGUUCAGGUUGUGGUAGUAGAUACAGAAUUACUCGCCUGCCCCAGCAUGAACCUUCUGCACAGAAAAACGGCCAGAUAAGGGGGUGGGCCCCAGUAGUAGGAAAAUGGCCUGAUCACGGUUAUCAUAAAAGCGACAGAAAUCCUGUCAAAGCGUCCAGCUCUCACUUCCAGCAUCUCGCAUGUACGAGGGAAGGAACAUCUGUGACGUGCCCAUCAAUAUGUUUUAGUAACAUUUUUUGGGACCAAAAUUAACAUUAACAGGAAGACAGGUUUGUGUUUCUCUGUAUUUUCACUUAUUAAUAAUCCCAAGGUGAUUAGCAAUUCUGAGCUAUGUUGAGCUGCGAGUUUCCACGUGCAGCAUUGAGACACAGGACAAACAUCCUCCCUUUUAGCUCAGAGUUUGGGCUUGUGGAAAUUUCAGGAAACCACACAGCUUUGAAAAGCUUGGAUGUCUUUCAGUCCAUGUUUAGAUGUGAGGAAACAUGCAGCAGAGAAAACAGAAAUGUCACGGUGCAACCGUGUUGGAUUAUGUCCAGUAUUUGCUAAGUGUCUUCGGUGGGCCAGGCUCUGUAGGAAGCAGGUGUAAGGCCUGGAUCUUGCUGUCUAGGACUGGAAGUCACAGACUCUUCAUUCAUUCAUCCAUUCAUUCAUUCA